rnacentral:tRNA from 1 species
AGGUGUUUAGUUUAGACAAAAUAUUUGAUUUCGGCUCAAAAGCCUAUGGUUAAACCCCAUAACCACCCG